rnacentral:rRNA from 1 species
UACGGGGGGGGCAAGCGUUGUUCGGAAUUACUGGGCGUAAAGGGCUCGUAGGCGGCCAACUAAGUCAGACGUGAAAUCCCCAGGCUUAACCUGGGAACUGCGUCUGAUACUGGAUGGCUUGAAUCCGGGAGAGGGAUGCAGAAUUCCAGGUGUAGCGGUGAAAUGCGUAGAUAUCUGGAGGAACACCGGUGGCGAAGGCGGCAUUCUGGACCGACAUUGACGCUGAGGAGCGAAAGCCAGGGGAGCAAACGGG